UGAGAAUGCCGGUGAGCAGCGUUUAGCAAAUGGUUUUUUAGCUUUUGAGGGUAUAAAAACCCUAUAAGCAUAGAAGUUUGUUGCAAAGAUGAUGGCACUGUCGGAGCUCACCGAUGACAUUGUUGGGAGCAUGGCCGUUGGAGCCACUUUCUCAGAUUUUGGUGGGCAGAUAAACUCACUUGAUUUUCAUCGGACAGAAGAUUUGCUGAUAACCGCUAGUGAGGAUGACUCAAUUCGACUUUUUGACAUUGCCAAUGGAAAGUUGCUGAAGACUACAUAUCAUAAGAAGCAUGGAGCUGAUCGAAUAUGCUUUACCCACCACCCUCAUUCUGUUAUAUGCUCUUCAAUACACAACUUGGAUGUGCAUGGAGAGUCUUUGCGGUACCUAUCCAUGUACGAUAAUCGAUGUCUUCGUUACUUUAAGGGACAUAAAGAGAGGGUUGUGUCACUGUGCAUGUCUCCGGUUAAUGACAGCUUUUUGUCUGGAUCUCUUGACCAUAGUGUGAGAAUAUGGGAUCUUCGCGUAAAUGCAUGCCAGGGGAUUUUGCGUCUAAGAGGUAGGCCUGCAGUUGCUUAUGACCAACAAGGCCUCGUCUUUGCAGUGGCAAUGGAAGGGGGUGCCAUCAAAUUGUUUGAUUCAAGACAUUUUGACAAGGGUCCCUUUGAAACCUUCCUAGUGGGUGGAGAUACAGCUGAGGUUUGUGACAUAAAAUUCAGCAAUGAUGGAAAAUCAAUGCUUUUAACAACUACUAGUAAUAGCAUCUAUGUGCUUGACGCCUAUGCAGGAGAGAAGCGGUGUGGGUUUAAUCUGGAUCCUUCCCCGAUAGCAAUGGAGGCAACCUUUACACCAGACGGCCAGUAUGUUUUUUCAGGUUCAGGAGAUGGAAGCUUGCAUGCGUGGCACAUCGACACGCAAAAAAAGAUUUGUAGCUGGGAUAGCCACAUAGGUGUGGCAUCGUGCUUGAAAUGGGCGCCAAGAAGAGUCAUGUUUGUUGCUGCAUCAUCAGUUCUUACCUUUUGGAUUCCUGAUCAUAGAGGUCCUGGUGAAGCCGCUGGAGUCCAAGUAGAAGAACAAGUUACUCUUACUCAAUGAUGUCUUUAUAAGUUACAUGUGGGUGUAAACACACCUGGGCACUCUUAGAAGUUAUAUUGCCAUUGUUGAUUUGAUUCUUGUCAGCGCUUUUAUUUCCAAAGGUUUGAAAUUUUAUAUGUCCUUUGGCUUCUCAAACCCUAUCUCUUCGAUAUGGAUUUUCUCAAUCAUUUUGCCCACUGCGAGCGUCAUUCUACCACGUUUUAAAAGUUGCAAGUCUGUUUAGGUGGUGUGUACAAUGAGGCUUUGCUAUAUAAUUAGGCAAACAUGUCGAGGGUGACGGUGGAGUAAUUAGACAGCUAAAAGGUUAUUUUGUUAGAGGGAGCGAUAUGCAAUGGAGGGAGUAAUUACAUAAGAUUGAUUUUGAGUGAUGUGUAUGUAUUAGUAUUAGGUAAUGUAACCGCUCGUCGUGCGGUUAUAAAUAAUUUCAUUAAGCUUAUGAAAAUCUUUUCCAAUAAUGGACUAUUAUAAAAAAAAAUAAAAAAAUUUAAGAACGUUUCAAUAUAAAUUAAAUGAUUUGAUAAUAUCACAUAUCUCAA